UAUUGCUGUGGUGUAAAUUAACACGUUACAUUUUCGUUGUGAAGAUAAAGGUUUUUCUUUUAGCAGUAG
rnacentral:tRNA from 1 species